UACAGGGGGUGCAAACGUUGCUCGGAAUUAUUGGGCGUAAAGGGCGCGUAGGCGGCCUGGCAAGUGGAAGGUGAAAUCCCUCGGCUUAACCGAGGAACUGCCCUCCAAACUGCUUGGCUUGAGACCGGGAGAGGUGAGUGGAAUUCCCAGUGUAGCGGUGAAAUGCGUAGAUAUUGGGAGGAACACCAGUGGCGAAGGCGGCUCACUGGACCGGUACUGACGCUGAGGCGCGAAAGCGUGGGGAGCAAACGGG
rnacentral:rRNA from 1 species